AUAAUAAAACAAUAAUGUCUAUUCUCUUGGUUACAUAUUUCAAGAGAGAGAGAGAGAGAGAAGACGAAGAGUUGAGGAGUCGCUAUCCUCGCUGCCCUGUCCCCUGCACGUCCGCCGCUACCGCCGAGGAGUGGUUGAGUUCGGAUUCAAGAAGUUGGUAUUCAUUCAACAUAUUCAAUAGGUUCAUGCUCCAAACUUAAAAUAUUAGGGUUUUUAAUUCAAAAAUUAGGAUUUUCUAUGCUUUGAUUUGAGGCUUUUUACUUGAUUUAUUUCAAAUCUAUUAUUGGGUUAAAAAUUAGGGUUUUGAUUUUGGGGUUUUUGCAUGAUAUUGAGAGCUCUCUCACAUGUCUCUUGUUAUUGAAACUAGGGUUUUGUUUGAAGGAUUUCAAUUGAACCAAUAAAUAAAUAAUAAUUUGAUUUGGGAAUUCCAAUUGAAAAAAGGGCUUUGAUUUUAGGGUGGAGUUAAUACUGCUAUUGAUGGAUUCUUAUCCAAUUAGAUUUUAUUAAUGUCAUUUAUAUAACCAUGAAUUGUUUAGUUGAUAGUGACAGUAGCAGAGGUAAUCUUGAUGAUGUGGGUGACGAUAUUUUUGAACACUACUUAAUGAACUUAUCCUGAUCUUCUCUGUUUCUUUUUAAUUUUUCCAAAUGUUCAUCCCUCUCUUUUUAAUAAAUUAUUCAAGGAUCUUUCUUCUUCUUCUUUUUGGCUGGCGUUUAUGUCUUUUCCUUGUCAUUAGCAGUUGGUAUCUUUACUAUUUUGGCACUUAAUAUGUGCCUAGGUUUUUCCAGAUUUGCAUGCAAAGGAUACUAUAUUUGUUCUUAUUUGUGCUUCUAUAUUGGAAUGAAUUGUACAUAAUUUAUUAUAUCUGUAGACACAGCCCUUUUAAUUUUAUUUCUAUCUCAUUCACAUGCCCUCUUUGUAAGGCAGAAUUGGUUAUUGGAGACACAAGAUUUUGAUGUUGACCUGUUUCCCAAUCUUUCUUUUCCACCUACGUCACAGAUAUGAAAUUCUACUCCAUAACUAAUAAGCAAUGAAUGACCAGUUAUUGUUUUAUUGUUCACAGCAUUGACCCUCAACACUUGGAAAAAGUAGAAAUAAUGUGGUGAUUUGGAAUUUUAGUUUUAGUUUAUAAAGUGUUAAUGGGGAAUGGAUGAAAAAAGUUUUUUCAUUUUUUUUUUUAUAGUUCAUAACACACCUGACUGUACAAUGAGUAGUUUUUCCUACUGAUUGAACUUUCUUGAGUGUUACAAUUAUUAAGGCAUCUCUGUUAAUUAAGUGAGUAUUUUUAGUAGCUAAAUCAUGUGACUUAAGUUAGUUACAUUUGUAGUGGCACUUUGUGCAAGACAACCAGUAGUUUUGGAAUGAUCUUUAUAAUUUGAGGAGCCAUCUUCUUAGAAGUUUCUGAUGACACUGCAUAUUCCAUUUGGUGAUUGAUGUUGCAAGAUUACUUAACAUUUAGAAGUUCAAUAAGUUUUGAUUAUUCAGAGUGUUACUCUAUUUUCUUUUUCCAUAUUAUUCAGUAAUUCUCAUUAGUUUGCUGAUGUUAUUUGCUAUGUUCUUGGAAUCAUGAUUGGUACUGCUAUAAUAAAGAUGUAGAGAAAAGAACUAAAGUUUAAAAAGAAGCAAGUAAAACAUGUAAAGAAGUUGCUAAGUUUGAAAUAUGUCGUAAUGAUAUACUACAACAAGAACUAUGUUGCUUAAGGCAUGAUUUUGUUCAAUUUUCACAUUGCCUGGAUGUACUAAAUAACCGUUUCUCACAUCGAGGUGAAGGUAGUGAUGACCUAGAAAAGGUUGGUUUCUCUCUCUCUCUCUAAUUGUUUAAACUAUCUGAACAUGCUUAACUUGAAUUACAUGUUUGUUGGUUAUUUGAUAAGUACGAUGGCAUUUACUUAUCAAUAAUAGUCUAUACCAUACAGGUUUCUAGUGUUCGUCAUUGGACUAUAUUUUGGUUGAGUUUACUCAGAAGCAACUUAACUGAAGUACAUAGGUAUUUGAGUGAUGGCUGUUUGGGUUAUUAAUCUAAUGGGUGAGUAAUCCAAUUAGAGCUUAUGUGUCUAUAAUUCAUCGCGGACUUGCUUGUAUAUAUGUAUUUUAUUAAAUGUAUUAAGAGAUAGUUGUUUGGUUGAAGAUUAUAAAUAAUGCUAUUCAUAAGUAGUUGUUGUCAGUCAAUUUGUGCAGCCUAAGACUAUAUAGUUUCAAAUUUAAAUACUUAUGUGUUGAGUACUUGUUCAUCCUAUUUUCUAUUUUCUUUGCAAGUGAUUUGUUUUCGAUAUCUUAUGCUUUUUUCCCCCCUUCUUGAACCAGAGCAUACACAAGUUUUUCCUCCAUGCUUUGUUGUUGUGUUGCUACGAGAGCUUGCAAGAGUAACUAUACCACCUGAAAGAAUCUAUGGUUUGGGAACUAGGUGAGAACAUUUUUAAGUAUAUAUAUAUAUAUAUAUUGUGUGUUAUUACAAAUGAAAAUUACUCUGGUUGGUCUUUUAAGCACCCCUCUCAAAUUUCAGAUAAUCAAAUUAUUUAAACUAUUCUUAUUUAUAUCACCAAACAAUCUAACACAAUCUCUUUUUUCUUUUUGAUUUUUUAUGCUUAUUUGUUUUCCUAUAUGUUUUUGAUGAGAACAAACAAUGAGUCGGAGUUUUCUUUGAUCAUCGCCACACUCUGGAUAACCAGUCAAUCGCUUCGAUUGUCUUUUUGAAAAUCCGAGCAUUUCGAGAUGCAACCAUGUUGAGUACAUGAUGAUAUCUUCGCAUAUCGAUAUUGGAGUUUACUAUUUAUAUCAAAACAAGUUAUAUAAUGCAUAUGUUUUUUUAUUUAUUUAUUUGUAUUGUCGAUACUUUUGUUUUGUUUUAGAUACAAAAAUUUGAGUUAUUGAAUAUCAAAAAUUAUUAGGAUUGUUAGAGGAUGUUUUAUAUUUUUUUGUAAAGAAUAUUAGGUUGACAAUUGUUACAAGGUACAAAUAUAUAUUAUUCUUGGUA